GAUGAACGCUGGCGGCGUGCUUAACACAUGCAAGUCGAACGGAAAGGCUCCUGCUUGCAGGGGUACUCGAGUGGCGAACGGGUGAGUAACACGUGGGUGAUCUGCCCUGCACUUCGGGAUAAGCCUGGGAAACUGGGUCUAAUACCGGAUAGGACGAUGGUUUGGAUGCCAUUGUGGAAAGUUUUUCGGUGUGGGAUGAGCUCGCGGCCUAUCAGCUUGUUGGUGGGGUAAUGGCCUCCCAAGGCGUCGACGGGUAGCCGGCCUGAGAGGGUGUACGGCCACAUUGGGACUGAGAUACGGCCCAGACUCCUACGGGAGGCAGCAGUGGGGAAUAUUGCACAAUGGGCGCAAGCCUGAUGCAGCGACGCCGCGUGGGGGAUGACGGCCUUCGGGUUGUAAACUCCUUUCGCUAGGGACGAAGCGCAAGUGACGGUACCUGGAGAAGAAGCACCGGCUAACUACGUG
rnacentral:rRNA from 1 species